UGCAUUACGCUGGGAAAUUGAAACCUUAUUC
rnacentral:rRNA from 1 species